UUUCCAGUCUACACCCAGCAUGCAUAUGACACCAAUGACGAGUGUCACCGGGGACCAGUCCCAUCCCAGUGCUGCAGCCACCCGUGGCUUGCAGCUGUGACAUUGACCGUGGCUGUUCCACACCUGAAGACAGGGAAGCGGGACACAGGGUGCAUGCCCGGGAUUCCAGCAAUCCAAGACGCCCAGGCAGUUUGAGGCCAGCCUCAGCAAUUUAGUGAGGCCUUACCUAAAACUUCUUUCUCGAGGGCCAGAGGGCCCGUAUGUUAACCCCCAGUACUGAAAACCAAGGUGGGAACCUGCCCAAGGCCAAGCUGGGGUGGGGACCUGGGCAGAGGGCACCACCAAGGCAGAGGCAGAGGUGGGGACGCCAAAGUGCAGGUGGGACUAGGGCCUGGGGGUCCUGUGGCCACAUGUGGGAUGCUUCAGGGACAGCUGGAGGCCAGGUUGGGUCAGUGGGUGCCCUAGGAGCAGGAAGGACAGUUGGAGUGGGAAGUGGAGAUGGCCGUAGGCUAGAGGAAUAGCUGGACUUGAGGCUCCUCUGAGCUCCACAGAGUGAAGGGAGCAGAUUCCUGGUUGAUUGGGGAAGGAGGGACCCAGCAAGAGUGGGAGAAAGAGGAGGAGGAGGACGUGGGUCCCCAGAGUGUCUGCCUCCCUGCUCCCCAGUGUCGUCAUGGGUCACCUGUGGUGGGACACGCCUGUCUAUAUGUAGCCUGUUUCUCUAGGGGUCAAGAGGCUUCUAGAGUGGACAGCCUGCUUCAGAGUCAGUCCUCAGGGUUGCCCUCAGGGGGACAGCACCAGAGAGGCACUGUCCAGGGAGCAGCAGGCCAGGAGGCUGACCUGGCUGUAGGAAGGGGCAGCCAGGGGCCUCCAGGUGGGCUGAAGCAGGGAGCCUGGCCUGCCCUCCAUCAGGUAACUCAGGGGGCCCAAGAAGACCGGCCCUUGUUCCAGAACUGCCCCAGAAGGCGACAUGCUUCCUUUGGGGAGGCAACCCACAGGCCUCUGAACUCAGAGGAAGAGGGACCAGGUGGGCUAGUCACUGAGUUCUGCAAAGGUCAGCCUCACUCCCUGCAGAGCUUCGAACUUGCCUUUUGUUCCUGGGACUCGCUGCCUUUCUGAACCCAGUCUAAAAAUUGCUGCAAUUCUUGCUGGUAUUAGUCAUCCCCUUGUGACUGAGGCUUGGGUACAUAGGUCUUUAAAUCCUGCAAUUAUUUCUCAACCUGGGUUUUUAAGAAUAAAAGUUGAAAAUACAACCAACCAGAAGUGAUCGGCUCUGAGUCUGUUUCAACAGUACUUCUUCUGAAGACUGGCAGAUAAUUCACACUCUCCGUAAUAAUGAAGCCAGAAUUAAAGACAGGCCUUCAGUGCAGAUAGGCAAGAGUCAGAUUCAGAGAACCGAGGCCAGUUUGGGUCCUGGAAUUGGAGACUGCCCCUGAGGAACUGAAAUGCUCCUGUCUUCACAGCCCUCCUUCCACCCUUAUCAGGUAACCUGCCCUGCUCCAACCUGAGGCUAAGGUCACCUGUCCCAGGCUCUGUCCCUCCCGAGGGAGUUGUUAACCCCCUUCCUGCCCUGAUCACUCCGCCUUGGCCCCUCCAGCCAUCUGCUCCUCACCUUUUGGCCAUCCCACUGAGCGUCCCCUGGGCCUGGUCACCUGCGCAGGAAGGAGGGAGAGGGGGGUGGGGGCAGAGGAGAACAAAGGAAGCCCAGGACCUAGAACAAAAGGCAGAGGCUCUCACUUUGGGGUACCAGGACACCAGCUGUGGCCCCCUUCUCGCUCCCAGGACCUAGAACAAAAGGCAGACGCUCUCACUUUGGGGUACCAGGACACCAGCUGUGGCCCCCUUCUCGCUCCCUGGAGAAUAUGUGACCCCUUUUUAAAUAACCCUGCUUUACCUGCUUGCCUCUGUGCUUCUCCAAAGGUGUACUUCAACCUGUGGGGAGCAGGACUCGCCACCGGUAACUCUGAAAAGGCAGCCCCCUGACGCUCCUCUGUUGACCCCAGAGACUCACUUCUGUUACUGAGAGUUGCCCCACCUCCACAAGUGGUUGCUCAAUGCUAUCUGAGCAGGUAACCUGAUCUUAAGACUCCUGUGGGAAACAGGCUGAUAAGAAUGCCACCGAGUGGGGCCCAGGCAGACAGGACUCCGGGGUUUCCUGUGACCACUUUCUCAACAUGCUGAACAAGCCUCAGAAUGUCUGCCUCCCCUCAGCCCCAAACCCACCCACACCCUGUUCAAAGCACCCGUCUCACCCUCUGCUCCCAAAACACCAGGGUGUCACCCUGAUCAGUGACCUGUUUGUGGGGGCCCUCUGGCCAGGAGGCUGCUCCCUGCUUCUUCACCAGCUCUAAUCCCCAGAAUCUCCUCUAGGCCUGCCCCACAGACAAUCCUACAGAACCCCAAAUUCAUACUGAAAUCUCACGUCAAAGUGAUGGUGCUAGGAAGCCGGGUAUUUGGGAGAUGUCUUUUUUUUUUUUAUAAUAUUCUUUUAGUUGUAGAUGAACACAUACCUUUACUUCGUUUAGUUUGUUUUUAUGUGGUGCUGGGUAUUAGGUGCAGGACAGGCUGAAGGAAUGUUAGCUGCAGGAUGACCACACUCCCAAACCCCCUCUGUCUGGUCCUUUAUCACCUGUUUGUGUCAAGGCUGAACACUUCACCCCCCUGCUCAAGGCUGAGCACUCAACCCCCUCCCCCCUGCUGAAGGCCGAACACUUAACCCCCCCUUGGGCCAACAAGGCAGCUUGCAGACCCAGAGGCCCCAUUAGAUUUGGGCCAUAAAAACUCCCUCCUGCCGGCCCUCUCUGUUGGUCUCUGUCGCGCUCCCCCCCCCCCCUCUCACUCUCUCUCCUUCUCUUUUUCUUUCUCUCUUUUCUCCUCUGUUACACUGCUGCAAUAAAGGUCUCUUAGUCACUCUGAGUGUUGUGGUCACUUUCCUUUCGUUGGUGCCAAAACCUGGGAAGAGGGUUAAAACCCACUUUUGGGUCCCUCUUCCGGAAGUACCACUCACUGGUCAGCCUGAACCCAUUUUCUUGACCGCCAGAACUCCAUCCACCCCGGCCUUCAAUUGGUGAGUUUCCCCUUCCUGGAAACUCAAUGGUGGCAUCGGGAGGAUCUGACCGUUGAUUGUCCGGCAAACCUCUUCACCCACCACAGCCUGUAAGGCCACGGUGGCCCUCAGGGACUCCUUCCUUG
rnacentral:lncRNA from 1 species